ensembl:rRNA 5S_rRNA 5S ribosomal RNA
GUCUACAGCCAUACCAUCCUGAACGUGCCCAAUCUCAUCUGAUUCCUGAAGCUAAGCAGGAUUGGGCCUGGUGAGUAAUUGGAUGGGAGAAUCAGCAAAUUCUGUGAUAGGAAAUU